GUUAUAUGGUCAAGUGAAGAAGCGCAUACGGUGGAUGCCUUGGCAGUCAGAGGCGAUGAAAGACGUGGUAGCCUGCGAAAAGCUUCGGGGAGUCGGCAAACAGACUUUGAUCCGGAGAUCUCUGAAUGGGGGAACCCACCUAGGAUAACCUAGGUAUCUUGUACUGAAUCCAUAGGUGCAAGAGGCGAACCAGGGGAACUGAAACAUCUAAGUACCCUGAGGAAAAGAAAUCAACCGAGAUUCCCUUAGUAGUGGCGAGCGAACGGGGAUUAGCCCUUAAGCUUCAUUGAUUUUAGCGGAACGCUCUGGAAAGUGCGGCCAUAGUGGGUGAUAGCCCCGUACGCGAAAGGAUCUUUGAAGUGAAAUCGAGUAGGACGGAGCACGAGAAACUUUGUCUGAACAUGGGGGACCAUCCUCCAAGGCUAAAUACUACUGACUGACCGAUAGUGAACCAGUACCGUGAGGGAAAGGCGAAAAGAACCCCGGAGAGGGGAGUGAAAUAGAACCUGAAACCGUAUGCGUACAAGCAGUGGGAGCCUACUUGUUAGGUGACUGCGUACCUUUUGUAUAAUGGGUCAGCGACUUAUAUUCAGUGGCAAGCUUAACCGUAUAGGGUAGGCGUAGCGAAAGCGAGUCUUAAUAGGGCGUUUAGUCGCUGGGUAUAGACCCGAAACCGGGCGAUCUAUCCAUGAGCAGGUUGAAGGUUAGGUAACACUGACUGGAGGACCGAACCCACUCCCGUUGAAAAGGUAGGGGAUGACUUGUGGAUCGGAGUGAAAGGCUAAUCAAGCUCGGAGAUAGCUGGUUCUCCUCGAAAGCUAUUUAGGUAGCGCCUCAUGUAUCACUCUGGGGGGUAGAGCACUGUUUCGGCUAGGGGGUCAUCCCGACUUACCAAACCGAUGCAAACUCCGAAUACCCAGAAGUGCCGAGCAUGGGAGACACACGGCGGGUGCUAACGUCCGUCGUGAAAAGGGAAACAACCCAGACCGCCAGCUAAGGUCCCAAAGUUGUGGUUAAGUGGUAAACGAUGUGGGAAGGCUUAGACAGCUAGGAGGUUGGCUUAGAAGCAGCCAUCCUUUAAAGAAAGCGUAAUAGCUCACUAGUCGAGUCGGCCUGCGCGGAAGAUGUAACGGGGCUCAAACCACACACCGAAGCUGCGGGUGUCACGUAAGUGACGCGGUAGAGGAGCGUUCUGUAAGCCUGUGAAGGUGAGUUGAGAAGCUUGCUGGAGGUAUCAGAAGUGCGAAUGCUGACAUGAGUAACGACAAUGGGUGUGAAAAACACCCACGCCGAAAGACCAAGGGUUCCUGCGCAACGUUAAUCGACGCAGGGUUAGUCGGUUCCUAAGGCGAGGCUGAAAAGCGUAGUCGAUGGGAAACAGGUUAAUAUUCCUGUACUUCUGGUUACUGCGAUGGAGGGACGGAGAAGGCUAGGCCAGCUUGGCGUUGGUUGUCCAAGUUUAAGGUGGUAGGCUGAAAUCUUAGGUAAAUCCGGGGUUUCAAGGCCGAGAGCUGAUGACGAGUCGUCUUUUAGAUGACGAAGUGGUUGAUGCCAUGCUUCCAAGAAAAGCUUCUAAGCUUCAGGUAACCAGGAACCGUACCCCAAACCGACACAGGUGGUCGGGUAGAGAAUACCAAGGCGCUUGAGAGAACUCGGGUGAAGGAACUAGGCAAAAUGGCACCGUAACUUCGGGAGAAGGUGCGCCGGCUAGGGUGAAGGAUUUACUCCGUAAGCUCUGGCUGGUCGAAGAUACCAGGCCGCUGCGACUGUUUAUUAAAAACACAGCACUCUGCAAACACGAAAGUGGACGUAUAGGGUGUGACGCCUGCCCGGUGCCGGAAGGUUAAUUGAUGGGGUUAGCGCAAGCGAAGCUCUUGAUCGAAGCCCCGGUAAACGGCGGCCGUAACUAUAACGGUCCUAAGGUAGCGAAAUUCCUUGUCGGGUAAGUUCCGACCUGCACGAAUGGCGUAACGAUGGCGGCGCUGUCUCCACCCGAGACUCAGUGAAAUUGAAAUCGCUGUGAAGAUGCAGUGUAUCCGCGGCUAGACGGAGAGACCCCGUGAACCUUUACUGUAGCUUUGCACUGGACUUUGAGCCUGCUUGUGUAGGAUAGGUGGGAGGCUUUGAAGCGUGGACGCCAGUUCGCGUGGAGCCAUCCUUGAAAUACCACCCUGGCAUGCUUGAGGUUCUAACUCUGGUCCGUGAUCCGGAUCGAGGACAGUGUAUGGUGGGCAGUUUGACUGGGGCGGUCUCCUCCUAAAGAGUAACGGAGGAGUACGAAGGUGCGCUCAGACCGGUCGGAAAUCGGUCGCAGAGUAUAAAGGCAAAAGCGCGCUUGACUGCGAGACAGACACGUCGAGCAGGUACGAAAGUAGGUCUUAGUGAUCCGGUGGUUCUGUAUGGAAGGGCCAUCGCUCAACGGAUAAAAGGUACUCCGGGGAUAACAGGCUGAUACCGCCCAAGAGUUCAUAUCGACGGCGGUGUUUGGCACCUCGAUGUCGGCUCAUCACAUCCUGGGGCUGAAGCCGGUCCCAAGGGUAUGGCUGUUCGCCAUUUAAAGUGGUACGCGAGCUGGGUUUAGAACGUCGUGAGACAGUUCGGUCCCUAUCUGCCGUGGACGUUUGAGAUUUGAGAGGGGCUGCUCCUAGUACGAGAGGACCGGAGUGGACGAACCUCUGGUGUUCCGGUUGUCACGCCAGUGGCAUUGCCGGGUAGCUAUGUUCGGAAAAGAUAACCGCUGAAAGCAUCUAAGCGGGAAACUUGCCUCAAGAUGAGAUCUCACUGGGAACUUGAUUCCCCUGAAGGGCCGUCGAAGACUACGACGUUGAUAGGCUGGGUGUGUAAGCGUUGUGAGGCGUUGAGCUAACCAGUACUAAUUGCCCGUGAGGCUUGACCAUAUAACACCCAAACA
rnacentral:rRNA from 1 species